GGAUAAAUGCUCUGUUUGCCAGAGGGUAAUCCACUUGGUUUGGUGGAAGGGAAGCUGUUGUUGAUGCCGUUGUCUCUUCUGGUCUCUGGUACGCUCUGUGCUGUGGCUGGGAUGGCAGGUCAAAGACCCCCCUUGAACUGAUGCCAGAGUCGUUUGUGUUGAAUGGACAGCGAGCCAGAGACGGAGGCCGGCUUACAACGCUUUUCUCUGAGGGAUAUUCUGGUAGCUUUGUGGGCCCACGGUGGUGGUCAGUUGGUGCAAAAAUAUCAGUUUGAUUCAGCCCUGUGUCUCUGAGUUUCACAACUUUGUGGUUUUUAUUUAGUGCGGGAGAUUGCGGAUGAUCUAACGGAUGUUUCUGUGAUGGUAUGUCAGGUUUGGAAGAGCGUCCCGUUUGUGAUGUGGUGCGCUCUGUAGAGGCCCUUCGGGAGGCCUCCUGUGUCUGAGGCGCCACCAGACAUGUUUUAAACUGAUUCAAUCUGUUUGAAUGUUGAGAAGCUUCUGUUUUCUGGCCGAUGUCUCUUGACUGGCAGCUGUAAUCCUUUGAAAAACAGGCAGACUGACAUACUGUGCUCUGUACAUCCAUCUGGGCAGUUUGGCUCCGAGCUUUAGACCAGAAACUGUGUUUCUGAGGGGACUUGAUGUGUCGGGACAUUCCAGUUUGUUGAGAGAGUGCAGGCAAAGAGUUUCCUGUAUAUGUCUGUGCAUCGUUUUCUUCCUUAGGUCUCCUGAGUUUAGAGCCUAAGAGAAAUGUUGUAUCAACUUUUGUUUCAUCGCGCAAGUCAAAUCUUCUUCUCCCUGUCUCGAUAUUGGGUGAAACAGUUGACUGACUUAAGAGAGGCUCCGUGGAAAAUGACAUGUGAGGAGUUAUAGGUGAAGCUGUACUUCUUUCAGAACACAUUUGUUCAUAUGAUUUCUUAGUGGAGGCUAAAUCUGCAGUUUGGGUGUAAUAUCUGUUCUGAGGGUAGUCUGUACAUUUCCUCUGAGUAGCCAGUCCAUCCAACCCUGACUGAGAUUCUCUGUGAACAACACUAGCAGACUCUAUCCCCUCAGACUCUGAAAGAAAUGUUUGUGUACCUGUCACUCCGCUUGGCAGACAUUUCUGUAGCUGUUUGAUGUUUGAUUUUGGUUUAGGGAUUGCAGAAAAGUCUAAAUUCCUCGGCGGAAGCUUUGGUUUAUCUUUUGGAAAAUUUUCUUUUUUACUUAAACCAACUUUGCCGUGCAAUAAGCAGGAAUUCUGAGACGUGGCUGCUUCUUUCUGGGACUCAGAGUGAGUCUGAUGUCGAGACUCUCUGCUUGUCCUGGGACAAGAUCUUCUCGAGUCAGGGUGAGUAAAGUCCAGUAAAGCUUCUUGGUCGAGAAUGCCAUGCUUUGCCUCAUUUGAGAAAACUUUAGCGUUCGAGAUGGUAAUAGAUCUAGCAUGUCUUUCUCUAGCAACAGGAGAAGGCUGCUUUCCUCUCUGGCCAUCCAAACUCAUCCCUCGGCACAGGGACGUGGGAGAUGGACUCAGUCUGGUUGUUGGGACAGUCAGAGUUGGCGAUACACUUGGCUUCGGCUGAGGCUGGUGCAGUAAUGGAGAAAGAUCACUCGACUGUGAGGCAGGGAGACGGAGAGAAUCACUUGGCUUUGGCUUCAGAGUGGAGGGGGUGUGAGAGGAAUUUGGCUUUGGAGCAGGAAAAAUUGAGAUGCUGCGCUUUGCAGAGAGAGUUGGAGAGCUGUAUGUUUUGGGUUUGGUCCUUGGGAGGGUUGAAGCUCUUUCUCCAUGGAUUCUCUGCGAAUGCUGACACGAUUUACUCCAAGAUGGCUGACUGGAUGUCUUGGCGGAACAAAUUGGAACAAAAGAUCUGGAGCCAAAGGAGGGAAGAACAUUUUUUAACUGCAAAAUGAAUUUGGAGAAGAGAGCGAGAGAGGCGGUGACAGAGAGAAUGAUGGAUGUUCGCUCGUCUGUCGGGAGGAGGCAGAUACUUGAUGCAUCAAAGGUGUUGGCUCCCCAUCCCUCCGGUGUCCUGGCAGCACCGCUGUCCAGAUGGCCUGCUGCCUCGCCCUCUCGAUCAUAUCAGGGCAUUGCUAUCAUCAUCUCUGCAGUUUACACUGGCCACCAGCGGGUGAUGCCGGACUGUCUUGUUGCUCCACUUGUGGGCAUCCUGCAGCCCGGGC